AUGGCCGGCGUCGAGUGUGUCUGCCCUGGCAAACGAAAGGCGGGAUCUUUUUCCGGCGAGGAGUGUUCCCCGAAGGCCAAGAGGAUGGUCGGCUGUUCCCGAGGAGAGGAGGAGAUUCCGGCGGCGAAGAAGAUGUGGCGGCUGCCGCGGGAGGAGGUCGACCGGAUCGUCGACUGGUCGCCGUACGUCCCUCCCGCCGUGUACCGAGACCUGAAGCGCGACAACCCGUCGCUUCUGCCAUCGCCGGAGGAGGAGAAGGACGAGCGCACGGUGCUCCUCUACCGGCACGCGCGCGAGUGCUACGAGCAUCUGGAUAGGUUCGCCGGCUUCCAGGCCAGGGUCCGCCGCGAGUACGCCUCCAAAGGAUUCGUGGAGGUCGACUACGACUGCGUCGGCGCCGAGGCCCAGGCGCGGAGGCGGAUCGACCAGGCACGUGGUGAGGCUUUCAGAGCCAUCGUUGCUCAUCUAAAAUCAGAGGUCGUCGUCGACGCCGACACGUUCCAGCAACUCGAAAGGAAAAUGAUGGACGGUUUCUGA
rnacentral:rRNA from 1 species